GAGGUAUUCCUCUAAUUCUCAAGUUGUAGAUUUAAUUUUAGAUUAAAUAUCAGAUAAUAAGAAUUAGAUCUAAUAGACCUUAGAUCUGAAAUAAAGUAGGCUAAUUUUUUUUAAAAAAUAUUUCAUCCCAGAUCUCAUUAGAUCUAGAAGAUCCUAUAAGGAAAAAGAUGAUUUUUCCUUCAGUCACGAUGCUUCAUUUUUAGCACCAUCCUUCUCCACC
rnacentral:lncRNA from 1 species